rnacentral:rRNA from 1 species
UACGUAGGCAGCAAGCGUUGUUCGGAAUUACUGGGUCGUUGAAAGAGCGGUGUAGGCGGCCAUGUAGGUCCGUUGUGAAAACUCGAGGCUCAACCUCGAAGACGCCGAUGGAAACCAUGUGGCUAGAGUCCGGAAGAGGAGAGUGGAAUUCCUGGUGUAGCGGUGAAAUGCGCAGAUAUCAGGAAGAACACCCGUGGCUAAGGCGGCUCUCUAGUACGGUACUGACGCUGAGACGCGAAAGCGUGGGGAGCGAACAGG